rnacentral:sRNA from 1 species
CGGCGGUGCUACGAGGUCGGCGCGCAGCUCCGCUGCGGGUCGCUCGGGCGCUGUCCAGGCGGAGCCGGCCCCGCCCGGGCUGCAGCCAUGAUCAAGCGUUUCCUGGAGGACACCACGGAUGAUGGAGAACUGAGCAAGUUCGUGAAGGAUUUCUCAGGAAAUGAGAGCUGCCACCCACCAGAGGCUAAGACCCGGGCAUCCAGGCCCCAAGUCCCGGAGCCAAGGCCCCAGGCCCCGGACCUCUAUGAUGAUGACCUGGAGUUCAGACCCCCCUCGUGGCCCCAGUCCUCUGACAACCAGCAGUACUUCUGUGCCCCAGCCCCUCUCAGCCCAUCUGCCAGGCCCCGCAGCCCAUGGGGCAAGCUUGAUCCCUAUGAUUCCUCUGAGGAUGACAAGGAGUAUGUGGGCUUUGCAACCCUUCCCAACCAAGUCCACCGAAAGUCCGUGAAGAAAGGCUUUGACUUUACCCUCAUGGUGGCAGGAGAGUCUGGCCUGGGCAAAUCCACACUUGUCAAUAGCCUCUUCCUCACUGAUCUGUACCGGGACCGGAAACUCCUUGGUGCUGAAGAGCGGAUCAUGCAAACUGUGGAGAUCACUAAGCAUGCAGUGGACAUAGAAGAGAAGGGUGUGAGGCUGCGGCUCACCAUUGUGGACACACCAGGUUUUGGGGAUGCAGUCAACAACACAGAGUGCUGGAAGCCUGUGGCAGAAUACAUUGAUCAGCAGUUUGAGCAGUAUUUCCGAGAUGAGAGUGGCCUGAACCGAAAGAACAUCCAAGACAACAGGGUGCACUGCUGCCUGUACUUCAUCUCACCCUUCGGCCAUGGGCUCCGGCCAUUGGAUGUUGAAUUCAUGAAGGCCCUGCAUCAGCGGGUCAACAUCGUGCCUAUCCUGGCUAAGGCAGACACACUGACACCUCCUGAAGUGGACCGCAAGAAGCGCAAAAUCCGGGAGGAGAUUGAGCAUUUUGGAAUCAAGAUCUAUCAGUUCCCAGACUGUGACUCUGAUGAGGAUGAGGACUUCAAAUUGCAGGACCAAGCCCUAAAGGAAAGCAUCCCAUUUGCAGUAAUUGGCAGCAACACUGUAGUAGAGGCCAGAGGGCGGCGAGUUCGGGGUCGACUCUACCCCUGGGGCAUCGUGGAAGUGGAAAACCCAGGGCACUGCGACUUUGUGAAGCUGAGGACAAUGCUGGUACGUACCCACAUGCAGGACCUGAAGGAUGUGACGCGGGAGACACACUAUGAGAACUACCGGGCACAGUGCAUCCAGAGCAUGACCCGCCUGGUGGUGAAGGAACGGAAUCGCAAGUAUGACCAGAAGCCAGGACAAAGCUGGCAGGGGGAGAUCCCAAGCCUAGCCUUGGGUGAGACCAAGCCCUACUUUUGUUCUUCUAUAGGCCCUGGGCUCAAUCUAAGCGGGUGCUGGGGUCCUCCUCGCCUUAUCAACCCUUUUCUCCCUUUAGCAAACUGACUCGGGAAAGUGGUACCGACUUCCCCAUCCCUGCUGUCCCACCAGGGACAGAUCCAGAAACUGAGAAGCUUAUCCGAGAGAAAGAUGAGGAGCUGCGGCGGAUGCAGGAGAUGCUACACAAAAUACAAAAACAGAUGAAGGAGACCUAUUAACUGACUUUCAGCCCUGGAUAUUUAAAUCUCCUCCUCUUCUUCCUGUCCAUGCCGGCCCCUCCCAGCACCAGCUCUGCUCAGGCCCCUUCAGCUACUGCCACUUCGCCUUACAUCCCUGCUGACUGCCCGGAGACUCAGAGGAAAUAAAGUUUAAUAAAUCUGUAGGUGGC